rnacentral:lncRNA from 1 species
UUUUAGAGGAAAAAAUCAACAACUUGCUUCAAAGAAAAAAGCUUCGAAUUGCUUUAGGUAAACUUCCUCAAUUAUUCUUUAACUACCCAUGUUCCUUGUAACAAAAAAAGGUACCUAAACUACCACAAAGAAGAAAAAUAAAAGACUUUCUAUAUCUUAAUAUAUAGAAUAGCUCUUGUUUUAAAUGCAUAACACCAUGGUACAAUUUUAUUAAGAAUAUAUCUACUUAGAAUUUAAUCUCAUACACUAUCCUUUGUACUAGAAACCUUGUUAUCUUGAUCCUCUUGGUCAUUCGUAACAGAAAUUUCUUCAGUAGAAUUAGGCUCCUUUUUUAACUCGGUCUCAAACUCCUUUGCUGCCUACAAAGGUUUCAAAACAAACAAUAAAGAUUUGCUUCAACUGAAUUAUUAAAAACUCAUUCAAAUAGGCAUAUUCAAGCACAAGGUGUGUAACUAGGUUGCAGAUAGAUAUACAAGUUACAAAAUUUAAUGCGAUUAUUUUAAAAAAUAUGAUCAGCUAAAUAGAUAAGAAAUUGUAAAUGUAACUUAUCCUAAGAAUGAGAAAAUGGAACCUGUUGGAAGCUUUUGACGGUUUUGCCGAUGCUGCGACCAACUUCAGGCAAUUUCUUGGGACCGAAAACAAGAGCAGCAACUCCGGCAAUAACAACAAGCUCGGGCACGCCUAAUCCAAAGAAGGCGUUGCAAGUAAAACGCUUUGUGCUUCUGGUUCUGGUUCUGGCUUUCUUCAAGAGAAGUGAUGUAGUGUUAGAAUUGGAAGCUGAGAAGGAUAAGUUGGAAUAGGAUGAAGAGAUUGGAAGCCUAGUCCUAGGGAGAAUCGAAGAAGAAGAAGAAAGGGAAAGUGUUGUCUCCAUUUUUGGUUUGAUUCUAUUUGCUUGUUUCUGCUAAAUGAGUGGAUAACAAUUAUCAAUGCCGAUGGGAAACACGAUUAGUUUGCGGAUUGGGUGGGACUGUGUCUAGAGUUUUCAAUGGCUCACCCAAUAUUUUUAUGAUUACGUACAACAUAUUUUUGACAACUAGGAUAUUUUUCAAUUUUAUUUGUUGAGUCC